CACAAAGUUGGUGAGGGAACUGGUGGCCAAUCAGGACCUAAUGAAUCUCAACAGCAAUCUGAGUACAGCCAAUCACAUAUUGCAGAGUGAUUAUAGCAAUGUUAGCACUGCAAACCAACGUUUAGCGGCUGAGAAAGAAAAGAUGUCAAGAGAGAGGGAUAGACUGAACUGGAAUCUUCGGGUCAUAUAUCAGCUUGAUGAUUUUCCUGUCAAGAAAUAUUGUUCACAAAAAAAUGGCACAGGAGUUGUUACCUGAUUUUGCACCCUGCCGCUCCAUGGAAGACCUGGACACAAAGCCAACAAUAUUGCAAACAAGAGAAUGCUGAUUUGGCUGUCAUUGGCAGCCAAGAGGAACAGGAAUUCAUUAGUAACCACACUCAACACUACUAUGAUGAACAUCAUGGGUACUGGAUCGGCCUGACUGACAAAGCUAAAGUCGGCCAAUGGCUCUGGGUUAACGGAAGUAAUCAGAAUCAGACUGAUGGGUUUUGGAACAGUCAAACUGGAGGUAAUUGCGUGGUAACUGUCCCAAAUAAUGCACCAUUGGCUAAUUGGAAGGCUGCAUCGUGUUUCAUGGAGAACCGUUGGAUCUGUGAGAGUAGAGCAUUAAUAUGGUCAGAUUAAAUUGAGUUUUAUUCUUCUAAUUUAAGGACCCAUGACAUCUGUCUGUUGGGGCCAAUUCGAAUUCACUCAAUUCAGGAAGUGAUUUAAAUAUCAAAUUCACAAUGGAAAACCUUCAUUGGCUGACCCCAACAUGGGUCUGUUUUGCACGUUUUUUAUAUGUUAACAAUCAAGGAUCUGUUGUAAUGUAGCUAUAGUGUAUUAAAAAAAUUAUGUUUAGUUUUGAGCUUUCAUAUAAAUCAGGCACAUUUUCUUUAAUAUUAAUAAUUUCACUUUGACAAUGAAUUAAUGUUUUUCUAAUGUCUUAUUGUAUUAUGUUCUGUACAGUUGUUGCUAUGUUCACAAUAAAAUAUCAACCGUAUGUAUAGUAGUGUUUUAGAAUAACAUUUGUUUUGGCCUUUCAUAGAUCCGAAAUCAUAUAAUAUUCAG